rnacentral:rRNA from 1 species
UACGGGGGGGGCAAGCGUUGUUCGGAAUUACUGGGCGUAAAGGGCUCGUAGGCGGCCAACUAAGUCAGACGUGAAAUCCCUCGGCUUAACCGGGGAACUGCGUCUGAUACUGGAUGGCUUGAGAUUGGGAGAGGGAUGCGGAAUUCCAGGUGUAGCGGUGAAAUGCGUAGAUAUCUGGAGGAACACCGGUGGCGAAGGCGGCAUCCUGGACCAACACUGACGCUGAUGAGCGAAAGCCAGGGGAGCAAACGGG